rnacentral:tRNA from 2 species
GGGGUUGUAGCUCAGUUGGUAGAGCACCUGAUUGAAGAUCAGGGUGUCGGUGGUUCGAGUCCACCCGGCCCCACCA